rnacentral:misc_RNA from 1 species
AAGUCGUAACAAGGUUUCCGUAGGUGAACCUGCGGAAGGAUCAUUAACACGUAUCCAACGUUAAACAACCCUGUGAACUUUAAGUCCCCUCUUGCAGCCCAUGAGGAACAGCAAUCCCGGUAAAUCAUUGCCAAACAGUUUUGAUUCGGGACCUCUGUCCAAAAGGAGUUGCAAUCGAAGGGUGGAAGCAGUGGCAUGGCUUCCCCAAGCAGUUAGUGAAUGACAGUGUCACUGACUGUGUAAGGAUAACGCCUCACGGUUGCUAGAGGUCGAUCACCGACCGGCAGACAUGUCACAGGGUCACCACGCCCCUUAGGUAAAAAAAACCGAACAACUGUUAACAAUGGAUAUCUUGGUUCUC